rnacentral:rRNA from 1 species
ACGGAGGGUGCAAGCGUUAUCCGGAUUCACUGGGUUUAAAGGGUGCGUAGGCGGGUUGGUAAGUCCGUGGUGAAAUCCCCAAGCUUAACUUGGGAACUGCCGUGGAUACUAUCAAUCUUGAAUAUCGUGGAGGUAAGCGGAAUAUGUCAUGUAGCGGUGAAAUGCUUAGAUAUGACAUAGAACACCAAUUGCGUAGGCAGCUUACUACACAGUUAUUGACACUGAGGCACGAAAGCGUGGGGAUCAAACAGGA